rnacentral:lncRNA from 1 species
CAGCUGCAGCAGGGUUUGAAAAAGGAAUUGAUCGUGAUUUUGAACCUGUUCUUUCGAUGACUCCUCUUAACUGAGACAGGGGAUCCAAGGCGUAUGCUUAAAAUAAAAUAGAAAUUGGUUUGAUUGCACCCUGCAUAUUGAGGGAAGCGAGUUUAUACUUAAAAAAAAGUAUUCCUUUUUCCUUUCUUUUCACUCAGUUAUAUCUAAUCUAUUUUAUAUAUAUUUUUUUUUUCUGGCUCGGCUAUCCUCCCUAGCCGAGCCAUUCCCUUUUAUGAGACGAAAAAGCCAGGCAAACCCAAUAAAGAAAAAAAGCGAUUCACCGAGCACAAGGAGAGAGAGGGAUUCGAACCCUCGAUAGUUCUUUGUUUCGAACUAUACGGUUUUCAAGACCGGAGCUAUCAACCACUCGGCCACCUCUCCGAAAGACAAUUUCUAUUUUACUUUUACUGAAUAGAACAUGGCUAUAUGAGUUAGUUGAUACCCAUUUACUAUGUAUAGAAAGAUAUUAGGCGUGACUCUUAUAGGUUAUAGGUCAAUCUAUCUGUAUAUACAUAGAAAAUAGAUCGAUGUAUGAUCCAGCACUCCCAUUUUGAAGUAAAAAAAAGUACUCUCGACCCAUGUCCGAAUCAAAGUGGUAAAGGUUGGAAAUACGUCAUAUAGAAUCAAUGGAUUCAUGGUAAAAUCCCCCUAGGAUGCCAUUCUAUUCCAAUUUUUUGGCUGAUAGAGGGAUCAAAUGGUAUAGUUCUUUUUUGUUGGUAGCUUGAGGAUUAGAAACAUGACUAUUGCUUUCCAAUUGGCUGUUUUUGCAUUAAUUGCUACUUCAUCAAUCUUACUGAUUAGUGUACCCGUUGUAUUUGCUUCUCCGGAUGUUGGUCGAGUAACAAAAAAUGUCGUAUUUUCUGGUACAUCAUUGUGGAUUGGAUUAGUCUUUCUGGUGGGUAUCCUUAACUCUCUCAUUUCUUAAAUCUAUUCGUUCCCAAUCCAACAAUGAAAUGCCCCUCCCACGAAUUUUUCGGGUUGUGAGACACAUUAAAAUUCACUAUAAGUCUCCAAAAUGCAAAUAAAAAAAAAAAAACACAAAAAUUCGUGGGAGGGGUCAAACUUCUGGAACUCGAAUGAAAAAUAAACAAUAAAAUUAUAUUAUUUAAAAUUCGAUUAUUAGAUAGAACGAAAAAUUAUAUUAUUAUAAAAAAAAAUAAGAUUAAAAAAUAAUAAUAAUCGAAAUUAGAUAAUUAGAAUCUAUUUAAUAGAAUUCUGAUAAAGAUAAUAUAAUUAUCUAAUAAUUAAUAGAAAUAUAUAUUAUUAAUAGAAAAAUAUCUAUAUAUUAGAAAUAAAUAGUAAUAUAAUAAUUAAUAGAAAUAAAAUAUUGAAAACUAUUCAAUAAUGAAUAUUAAUUAAUAUUAAUUAAUAUUGAAAAUUGCAAUAUGUACUUGGCUUUCAUUUAAAUUGGUUUGGUAGUGGAAUUUGAUGGAAUUACCCUGAAGAGAGUAUCUGGCCUAACUCUGGAUAAAGAUUUUCCAGCCAUUUCAAGGAAAAAAUGCGGAUAUAGUCGAAUGGUAAAAUUUCUCUUUGCCAAGGAGAAGACGCGCGGUUCGAUUCCCGCUAUCCGCCAAGGUAAAGUAAUGUAGUUAAUAGGAUAAACGACUUCUUAGUUAAUAGGAUAAACGACUUCUUAGUUAAUAGGAUAAACGACUUCUUAUAGUUGACCGUGAUAGUAUAGCGGUUCUAUCUUUCCACCCCAAGAAAAAAAAAAAAAAAAAAGAGAAAAGUGCUAAUUAAUAGUUAACAGAAUCAAACCUCAUUUUUUUGUCAAAAAUAAAAAAUGUUGCGGGAGACGGGAUUUGAACCCGUGACCUCAAGGUUAUGAGCCUUGCGAGCUACCAAACUGCUCUACCCCGCGAUGAAGAGAAGGACUGGGAAGAACUAAGAAAAAACAAGGAUUGAAUGCGCCCUUUUCCAUACCCGUACAAAUAGAAUAGCCUAUUUGUACAGAAUGGUAAAGGGGCCGCCUCUAUGAUGAUAGAUCAUAGAAAUCCAAUCGAAAAAAGAAAAAUGAAGGAUAUUUUAAUCCUUACCAACUUGAUCUUGUUGCCCCCGGCAAAAACACGCAUGAACCAUUUCACGAAGUAUGUGUCCGGAUAGUCAAAGUCUCGAUAGUUAGCUCUCGCCUUCCGGUCAAAAAACAACGUCGAUGAAGACGGGUAGGUGCACUAUUACGCGUGAGGAUUGUAACUUUCCAUGAAUUUUCCAUUUAUCGCUCAACGAUGGAGCUUUGUUUAUUUCUUUUUUUUGAGGAUCGACGAAUCAAAUGAUAUUUUUGUUCCAAUUUGUGCCUUUUCUUUUCCCUCUGAAUCAAACUUUGCCUUGCCAUAGCGGUUCCGUCCCUAUUUNCUGAUUCAAUCAAAAGAAUUCCUUUACUUUAAUACUAAUACUUUUUUAUACUAAUACUUUUUUUAUUUACCAGUCUUUUCCAGUCUGUCUUUUCUAUAAUCGACCGCCUUACUUGUACAACCCCCUAACCGCUUUACACUUUCCUUGUUUACAAAGGGUUUAGAAAAAAAACCAAACAAACAAUCGAAACGAAAUAGAAAAAGAAAAAGGAAGGGGUUAAGUUCUAAACCCCUUUUCAUUUUCUUUUUUUCAAGAAAUUAUAUCAUUAAAAAAAAAAAAACGAAAAAGAAGUGUGAUAAAGACGAGUCCCAGUAUAAAAGAAUAUUUCAUAAAAAUUGACUAUUUUAUUUAGAUUUAUUUAGAGUUUCUUCUUCUUUGGCAAUACGCUUAAAAAAAUUAUUCAUUCCCUCUUCGGGAGGGGUUGGCGCCUUGCUUGAUCUUUAUUUUAUUAAGAAUAUCAUCCCCCCUCCCUUGGAUUAGUACUAGAACGUAUCCCUCAAAAGUUCGGCGUGAAUUUGAAUGAGAGAAAUUCUUUCAAAUUCAAACUAGUAAUUUAAAGUUAGCCAAACUAGAAACCAGAAAAGAAGAUACUUUGAAAAAAAAAAAACGAAAAGAAGUGUGAUAAAGACGAGUCCCAGUAUAAAGAAUCGAAUAUUUCAUAAAAUUGACUAUUUUAUUUAGAUUUAUUUAGAGUUUCUUCUUCUUUGGCAAUACGCUUAAAAAAGAUUAUUCAUUCCCUCUUCGGGAGGGGUUGGCGCCUUGCUUGAUCUUUAUUUUAUUAAGAAUAUCAUCCCCCCUCCCUUGGAUUAGUACUAGAACGUAUCCCUCAAAAGUUCGGCGUGAAAUUUGAAUGAGAUAAAUUCUUUCAAAUUCAAACUAGUAAUUUAAGUUAGCCAAACUAGAAACCAGAAAAGAAGAUACUUUGAAUCUUAAUCUAAAAGUAUUCUAUCAAAGUAACGAUCUUAAAUUCAGUUGUGUAUACGCUCCGGGAACGAUAUGGUACUCGAUUCCAUUCCAUACACAGAUGGGGGACAGUCAAAAAAACCAGACCCCUACGGUAGCUCUUGGAAUCCUGAAUAUGAUGCUACCAAUAAUUGUACAAUUCGCACAUGUCUCUUUCUCAUCAAUCGGUACUAGUUGAUGAGAAAUCGAAAUGAAAAGAAAAAAGAGCAAAGGAGAGCAGUAGGCAUGAAAUUCUACCAUUUUAUUUUGCCCCAGUUUAACAGAAACGGCGAGAUAUUUGAUGUUUUUUUUUAUGGAUUUGGAUCCGUCGGACUGACGGGGCUCGAACCGCAGCUUCCGCCUUGACAGGGCGGUGCUCUGACCAAUUGAACUACAAUCCCGGGGCGGUAAAAUGUACCGAAUACCUAUUUUUAUGAUUUCAUUCAAACAAUUUCAUUAUAUUUAGAUAAAUAUCGACGUGUUGGAACCGAGACGUGAGUGAGAUAUUGAUACACACGGAUAUACACUUUAGUGAGAGCGGCACGGAUUCCUUUCGUUAUUGCCAAAUCAAUUGAUAAUUCGUUUUUCAAUGUCCAAAAAAAAAAAAGUCUUUUUUUGCGUUACUUUAUUCUUUCAUUAGACUUUAUGCUUUCGAUUUCAUGAUCCUGAUAUGAAUCUAGAUCAUUAUUAGCAAGAUCAGAAUUUAUGGGAACAAAUAAAUGGAGCAAACAAAAUAAAUAAAUAGCGGUAGGGAUCUAUCGGAGAAUUGGACUCUUUUGAUUCUUGAGUCUUUAUCUGGCAUUUCUGGAAACAAAGGGGUUAUAUCAUUUCCUGGGAUCAGCGAAUUAUUGGGCCGAGCUGGAUUUGAACCAGCGUAGACAUAUUGCCAACGAAUUUACAGUCGUCCCCAUUAACCGCUCGGGCAUCGACCCAGGAAGAAUAAAGUCUAGGCUUAUUUAUAAUCCACGAUCAACUCCUUUCGUAGUACCCUACCCCCAGGGGAAGUCGAAUCCCGCUGCCUCCUGAAAGAGAGAUGUCCUGAACCGCUAGACGAUGGGGCAUAUUUGCCGACUGCCAUCAUACUUAGUCAUAACAGUUUUUGAAAUGUCAAUUAAUGGAAUGGAUGACUAACUCUAAAGUAAAGGAUCUUUCCACCUUUUCUGAUCCAUACCAAUAGCUUUUUUUGAUUCGUCAUCAAUCGCUCAUCUAAUCGCCAUUCUAGUCUAAAAUCGAAAUCUAUUAUAGAAAUUGCUAUAAUAAUAAUAAAAUAAAAAUAGGCCGAAGACGAAAGUAGAGGACCUUUUGGGAAGUGAUUGGUCCGACAUAAAAGAAGAUUUUUUCUUCAUUUCUUCCACUUAACUUCAUUCAUUAUCCACUCCUUGUAAGAUGAGAUCGGACUAUUCCUAUAUCGCCCUAAGCUGGGAAAUUCACAAAUGAGAAAUCCGAAAAUCUGGAACGGGGAUUAAGAUUAACAAGUUAUCAAUUUUUUUUUUUUUUUUUUUUUCUCUAAAAUUUGGGUUCGGGGAACAAACAGAAUCUCUUUAUCACAUGUGAAAUCCGGUGGAUCUAUGUCGAAUUGGUAGGUCCAUGUAUCCAUGUAUCAAUCAAAUAAGUUUCGUUCCGUUCUGAUGGGGUCAGAUCAAUUUAAGUCAAUUCCAUUAGGGUCG